UAAUACAGAGGGUGCGAGCGUUAAUCGGAAUUACUGGGCGUAAAGGGCGCGUAGGUGGUUAAUUAAGUCAGAUGUGAAAUCCCCGGGCUUAACCUGGGAAUGGCAUAUGAAACUGAUUAGCUAGAGUUUGGGAGAGGGAAGUGGAAUUUCAGGUGUAGCGGUGAAAUGCGUAGAUAUCUGAAGGAACACCAGUGGCGAAGGCGACUUCCUGGCCCGAUACUGACACUGAGGCGCGAAAGCGUGGGGAGCAAACAGGAUUAGAUACCCUGGUAGUCCACGCCGUAAACGAUGAGAACUAGAUGUUAGGGGACUUGAUCCUUUAGUAUCGCAGCUAACGCACUAAGUUCUCCGCCUGGGGAGUACGGCCGCAAGGUUA
rnacentral:rRNA from 1 species